CUUGCAUUCCAAAAAUAAAUCCCCCUUGGUCAUAAUAAAUAAUCAUGUUAAUAUGCUGAUGAAUUCAGUUUGCUAGUAUUUUUUUUGGUAAUUUUUGUAUCAAUGUUUAUAAGAAAUAUUGAUUUGUAAUUUUCUUUUCUUGUAGUGCCUUUACCUAGCUUUGGUAUUGGGGUAAUGCUGGCCUCAUAGAAUGAGUUAGGACGUGUUGUCUUUUCUUCAGUUUUUGAACAGUUUGAGAAGCGUUGGAUAUUAGUUCUUCUUUAAAUGUUUGGUUGAACUCACCAGUGAUUCCAUCAGGUCUAGUGCUUUUCUUUGUUGGGAGAUUUUUGAAUACUGAUUCAAUCUCCUUACUCGUUAUAGGUCUAUUUAGACUUUAUAUUUCUUUAUGAUUUAGUCUCAGUAGGUUUCUGUGCUUCUAGAAAAUUGUCCAUUUCAUCUAGGUUAUCCAGUUUGGUGGUGUGUAAUUCUUCAUAGUUCUCUCUUUUAAUUGUUUUUAUUUCUGUAGAAUUGGUAGUAAUGCCCACACAUUCAUUUCUGGUUUUAGUAAUUUUUUCUUAGUCCAUAUAGCUAAAGGUUUGUCAAUUUUAUUGCUGUUUUUAAAGAAUCAACUUUUGGUUUCAUUAAUUUUUUUAUUGUUUUUCCAUUUUUUUUUUUUUUAGUUCAUUAAGUUGUAUGUUACGCUAUUGAUUUGAGAUCUUUCUUGUUUUUUAAAGAAGGAAAUUAGGCCAGUUGCAGUGGCUCACACUUGUAAUCCCAGCACUUUAGAAGGCUGAGGUGGGAGGAUCACUUGAGGUCAAGAGUUCAAGACCAGCCUGGCCAAUAUGGUGAAACCCCAUCUCUACUAAAAAUACAAAAAUUAAUUGGGCGUAGUGGUACAUGCCUGUAGUUCUAGCUACUUGGAGGCUGAAGCAUGAGGCUGAAGCAUGAGAACUGCUUUAAUCUGGGAGGAGGAGAUUGUAGUGAACCAAGAUCAUGCCACUGCACUCCAGCCUGGAUGACAGAGAGCUUUUGCUGCAUUCAUAAGUUUUGGUAUGUUAUAUUUUCAGGUGUUAUUUGUCCCAAUUUUACAGAUUCAGAUAUCAAGGACCAGAGAUGUCAAGAGAUUUUCUUAAGUUCACACAAUUAUUAGUGGCCAAGCUAAG
rnacentral:lncRNA from 1 species